rnacentral:rRNA from 1 species
GUCUAAGGCCAUACCACCCCGAACGCGCCAAAUCUCCUCUAAUCUCAGAAGCUAAGCAGGGUUGGGCCUGGUUACUAGUUGGAUUUGAGAAAGCCAAGACUUAGAGU